GUGGGGAAUCUUCCGCAAUGGGCGAAAGCCUGACGGAGCAACGCCGCGUGAGGGAAGAAGGCCUUCGGGUUGUAAACCUCUGUUUUCAGGGAAGAAAAAAAUGACGGUACCUGAAGAGUAAGCUCCGGCUAACUACGUGCCAGCAGCCGCGGUAAAACGUAGGGAGCAAGCGUUGUCCGGAUUUACUGGGCGUAAAGGGCGCGUAGGUGGUGCAUUAAGUUAGAGGUAAAAGUGCGGGGCUUAACCCCGUGACGCCUCUGAUACUGGUGGACUUGAGUGCAGGAGAGGGGAGCAGAAUUCCCAGUGUAGCGGUGAAAUGCGUAGAUAUUGGGAGGAAUACCAGUGGCGAAGGCGGCUCUCUGGACUGUAACUGACACUGAGGCGCGAAAGCGUGGGGAGCGAACAGGAUUAGAAACCCGAGUAGUCC
rnacentral:rRNA from 1 species